AAUUUGUGAGUUUUCGGUGUCAGCCUCAGCCUCACAGCAGCUCCGGCAUCGGCGGUGUUGGUGCUCUGCCUUUAUCGCACAGCCGGUCAACCAUGGAGACAUGCCUACAGAGAUCAACGCACUCUUCGCUCUGAAGCAUUUCAUCGGAUAGUUUAAUUCCGAUGAAUUGCAUUGACAUGAGAAUGCAGAUUCUGCAGCCAAUUGACACCCAUGACGAAGACAAGUAACCAUCCAAGGUCAAUGCGCUCUUGGUCAGCAUAUGGGGCCAGCUCCUCUAAACGACGACAAAAAGCACCGAAAUCAAGAUUUGGAGGUUUGAACUUACUGCUGUAGCAAGAUUGCAUUUCGCGGCGAAAGAUGACUUAUUGGUGAUCACCGGAGAUCCUUGCACUGUAGCAUGCUUCACCGGAAAAACCUCUCUGACUCUGCGGCCGGAGAAAGCCAUAACUGCCGGGUUGAAGGUGACCGACAUGUUUAGGUUCAGGUCCGGAGCUGUGGCAGUUGAUGACGGACGGAGCAGCAAGCAGCGGCGAUGGAAGUGAGGAGGGAGUUUUGUUUGACAACAGAAGGCUGACUGAAAUAUGCUAUUGCAAUGACUUAUUCAAAUUGAUCUUAUAAUAAUGCAAAUAAUAUAUAUUUUGCGUUAUUAUAUGAUUAUUAACGUCUGUUGUUCUGUCAUGUAGUUGUAUAUAGAGAAGCGACAAUAUUGCAGACAAGUUUGAAAAAAAUAGUCUUCCACAAGAAAAAUAUUUAAGAUUGGUUA